AAACCCUGGUUCCCAUACAAUCACUGAAGUUAAGCAACAUCGAGCCUGGUCAGUACAUAGAUGGGUGACUACCUGGAAAUAUCAGGUGCUAUA